rnacentral:rRNA from 1 species
AUUGAACGCUGGCGGCAGGCCUAACACAUGCAAGUCGAACGAGUGGCGGACGGGUGAGUAAUGUCUGGGAAACUGCCUGAUGGAGGGGGAUAACUACUGGAAACGGUCGCUAAUACCGCAUACCAUCAGAUGUGCCCAGAUGGGAUUAGCUUUUGGGGGGGGUAACGGCUCACCAAGGCGACGCUCCCUAGCUGGUCUGAGAGGCUGACCAGCCACACUGUAACUGGGACACGGUCCAGACUCCUACGGUAGGGAGCAGUGGGGAAUAUUGCACAAUGGGCGCAAGCCUGAUGCAGCCAUGCCGCGGGUGUGAAGAGGGCCUUCGGUUUGUAAAGUACUUUCAGCGGGGAGGCGUUACCCGCAUAGGAAGCACCGGCUAACUCCGUGCCAGCAGCCGCGGUAAUUC